rnacentral:snRNA from 1 species
CCAGCUCUCUUCGCCAAAAGGCUUAGAUCAAGUGUAGUAUCUGUUCUUAUCAGUCUAACCAACUGGUAUGCACCCUAUGGGGAUGCAACCCUACCCUUA